UGGAGGAAAGCAGGGGAUCGCAAGACCUUGCGCUUUUGGAGUGGCCGAUGCCUGAUUAGCUAGUUGGUAGGGUAAUGGCUUACCAAGGCGACGAUCAGUAGUUGGUCUGAGAGGACGACCAGCCACACUGGGACUGAGACACGGCCCAGACUCCUACGGGAGGCAGCAGUGGGGAAUUUUGGACAAUGGGCGAAAGCCUGAUCCAGCAAUGCCGCGUGAGUGAAGAAGGCCUUCGGGUUGUAAAGCUCUUUCAGUCGAGAAGAAAAGGUUGCGACUAAUAAUCGCAACUUAUGACGGUAUCGACAGAAGAAGCACCGGCUAACUACGUGCCAGCAGCCGCGGUAAUGCGUAGGGUGCGAGCGUUAAUCGGAGUUACUGGGCGUAAAGGGUGCGCAGGCGGCUCUGUAAGUCAGAUGUGA
rnacentral:rRNA from 1 species